rnacentral:rRNA from 1 species
GUGGGGAAUUUUGGACAAUGGGGGCAACCCUGAUCCAGCAAUGCCGCGUGUGUGAAGAAGGCCUUCGGGUUGUAAAGCACUUUUGGCGGGAACGAAAGGGCCUGGGCUAAUACCCCGGGUCGAUGACGGUACUCGCAGAAUAAGCACCGGCUAACUACGUGCCAGCAGCCGCGGUAAUACGUAGGGUGCAAGCGUUAAUCGGAAUUACUGGGCGUAAAGCGAGCGCAGGCGGUCGUGUAAGACAGAUGUGAAAUCCCCGGGCUCAACCUGGGAACUGCAUUUGUGACUGCACGGCUAGAGUGCGUCAGAGGGGGGUGGAACUCCACGUGUAGCAGUGAAAUGCGUAGAGAUGUGGAAGAACACCGAUGGCGAAGGCAGCCCCCUGGGAUGACACUGACGCUCAUGCUCGAAAGCGUGGGGAGCAAACAGGAUUAGAAACCCUAGUAGUCC